rnacentral:rRNA from 1 species
AUUGAACGCUAGCGGGAUGCUUUACACAUGCAAGUCGAACGUGUGGCGGACGGGUGAGUAAUAUAUAGGAACGUGCCCUGUCGCGGGGGAUUACUACUCGAAAGAGUGGCUAAUACCGCAUACUAUUGGGGCGGCAGCUGUCGGAUUAGCUAGGGCGUGGGGUAAAGGCGCACAAAGGCAACGAUCCGUAGCUGGUUUGAAAGGACGACCAGCCACACUGGGACUGAGACACGGCCCAGACUCCUACGGGAGGCAGCAGUGGGGAAUUUUGGACAAUGGGGGAAACCCUGAUCCAGCCAUCCCGCGUGUAUGAGAAGGCCUUCGGGUUGUAAAGUACUUUUGGCAGAGAAGCGGUAUCUGCAGAAUAAGCACCGGCUAACUACGUGCCAGCAGCCGCGGUAAUUC